UCAGUGAGUGUGCGGGGGAUUGUGGUCCAGCAGGCAGGCUGAAAAGCCCCCAUUGACUGUGGAAUUUCACUGGUCACUCUGCUACUCUCAGCUCUUUCUACAUUCAAGCUGUCAGCCCCAGCAUGACCCAGCUAAGAACUGGGAGCUUUAAACACAAGGGCCUGGACCGUGAAGGUUUUUAAAGAUACAAGCUGCGUCACAGAAGCAAUCAAAUUUGGAUCCUGAGGUACUAGAAAUUAAGACAACCCAUCAUUGUUGACGGUUUACAAGGCUCAGGAGGAGGAGGAGGAGGAGGUUCUUUGAUCACCUAGAAAAAAGCACCAGAAAUGACACAUUCAUAGAGCAGAGAGGCCAGAACCACCACAUGAGAAGCAAGGCUAACAGGAGAAACAACACCAGCAGGGUGAUGAGGAGAAUAGUGCCAUCAAACUGUGAAGACAUGGGGCAGUGUAUAAAACAUCAAUACAAACCACAACACCAUCAGUGAUAAUUAAAGUUACU